GGCCCCCGAGGGCCCACUGAGCACCACGGGCCUGGGCCUGGACAUGCCUGGGCAGGGGAGGGGCAGACGUCAGGGGCCCAGCAGCCCUCAGCUCCGUGGGAAUGGACAGAACAGCAGAGGGAAGCUAGCCCCGCCCACCGGCCCCUGCUCUGGCUCUGCAGGAGGGAAGAGGCUGCGCCCGCCCCUGACACCUGCACCUGCCCUGCCAGCCCAGCCCACGCCACUGAGGUAAUCUCACAAAAGCAGCACCACCACAGCUCCAUCACGCACCAGGGCACGUGCCGCACACAGUCUGAACCCAGGUACGAAGGACAUGGAGCACACGCUGCACACGCAGGACGCACGCCUGACGAGCGCACACGCCACUGAAGCCAUUCAUAAGAAAUAGCUGGGACCCACUGCUAAAAACACACCAGAAGAAGAGAACCCAGGAGAACUCACUGAGAGCCUAACCACAGGCUGCCCUGGAUGCUGACUCCGUGCUGGCCCCCGGGCUUUCCUGCCCAUGGAACUCGAGGCCCCGUCUCAGCACAUUCUGCUCCUCUCAACCCCAGAGCCCUGCAAACCCCUCCCAGGGCCUGGUUCCCACAACACACGAGCCUUGAAACCCCAGAACCUUCCAGAUCAAAUGAGCCAUGCAACUCGGGUAAAUUCUGAAGCUCCUGCUUCUCCAGAGGAUAAAAUACGGGACUUUUUUGAUUAAACAUACAGUUCUUGGGACACAGUAAGCAAUC